rnacentral:lncRNA from 1 species
AAUCAAUAGGGUGACACCAAGUGGUCACCCUUUAUUUAAAUGAAAAUUAAAAAAAUUAAAGGAAGAAAAACAAGCCAGGAAACAAAAUCAUAUCUCUGAGCUUCUCACUUCACACGAUUUCUACAUUUCUCUUAUCUUUUUCUUUUUUUCUCUACAUUUUCUCUUAUUCAAAACACAACAAAAACCAAACAACAAUUCUAAAUCCAAACAAAAUUGAACACAAAUUUUCAUAAGCAUGGAAUCAAGUAGUAAUAGGAGAGAGCAAAAAUAAAAGUACAAACAACAAAUAAGCUUGGCGGCGCGAUUGGCGCAACAACCUCUGGUUGCGGUUUUCGACGACAGAAAGGCGUGAUUCGCGUGGCCAGGUGUUGUGUGACGAAGAGGGUCGUGGUGGCCGACCUUGUGCCUAGGUGGUGGUGAUAUCAAAGGGUUUAAAUAGGAUUAUGAAUUAGGUCGAAUUAAGUGGGAAUGAUUCUAUUUAGGAUGCUUUGGAUCAGACAUGAGGCUCAAGGUUGUAAUUUUGGUAGGUUCAAAAUGUAAUAGAAAUUAUUGUAAUGAAAAACAAUUCCAUUCUGCUUUUUCUCUUGAUUUUGUUUUGGUAACUUUGGAUAUUCUUAGUGUUUUUGUGAUUAAAAAUAAAUAAAUUAAAAAAUAACAAUUAAAAAAUACCUAAUAAAAAACAAAAAAUAUUAUUUAAAUAUUCUAAAAAGUUAAUGUUUGACUUUUAUUGACUUUAAAAAAAUAACAAAUAAGAA